UCCAAAAGACAUGGGUCUCGCGAGAGUUCUUGUCACCGUACAGAACCGGAAGUAACGUGUGGGUCUCUUCCCUUUUGCGGCCAUCGCUGAAGCAGCUUCGGCCAAAAUGAAGUUCAACCCCUUUGUGACUUCUGACCGGAGCAAGAACCGUAAAAGACAUUUCAAUGCACCUUCCCACGUUCGCAGGAAGAUUAUGUCUUCUCCUCUUUCCAAAGAGCUGAGACAGAAG